GGGCCUGUGAGGUAGUCUGGACAUCCUUCCGGCCUUCGGAGCCGGAUACCCGGGUUCAAAUCCCGGCGGGCCCG
rnacentral:tRNA from 2 species